UUUCCCAUCAUCUUCUUCCAAAGUCCCUGUUUCCUUCACCCCAGCCAUUUGCUCUCUCUCCCUCCCUGAGGAUUGUGUCCCUUCUUUCAUCCCAGUGCCCACAGCACUCAUCUCUCCCUCUCUCCUGGGUGGCUCAUUCCCAGCAGGGUACAAAUGUGCUCUAGUGGCUCCCACCAAAAAAGGAAGCCCUCCCCUCACCCCACAGCCCCCUACACUCUUCCCACUAUACCUUUCUCAUCGACCAUGCAGUGCUUUGGCUGUGUGCAGUGGCUCAUGUCUGUAAUCUCAGCAUUUUGGGAGGCCAAGGCAGGAGGAUCACUUGAGGCGAGGAGUUCGAGACCAACCUGGGUAACAUGGCAAGACCCCAUAUCUACAAAAAAUUUAAAAAUUAGCCAGGUGUGAUGGUAUAUGCCUGUAGUCCUGGCUACUCAGGAGGCUGAGACAGGAGGAUUGCUUGAGCCCAGGAGUUUGAGGCUGCAGUGAGCUAAAAUCGUGCUAUUGCAGUCCAGCUUGGGUGACAGAGCGAAACUCGAUCUCUAAAAAUAAAUAAAUAAUCAAACACAAUAAUAAAACAAGGAUUGUUUGUCAAUGUCAAAUGAAGCCAAUCUGCAGGACUGUGGAAUUUUCUCCCAACACUGUUUGGGGUGUUGGAAUUGUUAAAAAAAAAAAAUUUAUGGAAGACAUUGUUUCAGCCUGAGCUCUGGCACUAGGUCCCAACAAACCAGACAAAACCAAAGUGAAGUCACUAAUGCUAAAUGCCACAAAGUCAAAUGAAGCUUUAAGGAGGCAGAUAGAUCCCAAACCAGACCAGUUUUUCCUGAAAACAGGAGAUUCCAGUCUAUCUGAGUCCAUGUAACGAGGAGCUGCUCUCUGCUUUAACCCUUACAAAAAAAAAGUAACGAAAAAAGUUAACCAGUUUUUUUUCCUAUUCUGUUUCCUUGUUGCCAUUUUAUAAAACCCAGUUUUCUGCUAUUGCCCAGUGAAAGCUUUUAUUUUAUUUUAUUUUUUGAGACAGAGUUUCACUCUUGUCGCCCAGGCUGGAGUGCAGUGGUGCCAUCUCGGCUCACUGCAAUCUCCACCUCCUGGGUUCAAGUGAUUCUCCUGCCUCAGCCUCCUGAGUAGCUGGGAUUACAGGCACCCACCACCAUGCCCAGCUAAUUUUUGUAUUUUUAAGACGGGGCUUCACCAUGUUGGCCAG
rnacentral:lncRNA from 10 species